CCUCCAUCUACCGACAGGAGCGGGUCUUCAGUGCCUGCUUCUGUCGUCCACGGAGGUAGAGUAAAGCCGAGACUGCCUUCAGUACCAGCAUGGUCAAUCUGCUGGUACUAUUCUCAAAUCCCGGGACACAA